AUAGGUUGGAGGUGGAAGUGCAGCAAUGCAUGGAGCUGACCAAUACUAAUCGGUCGAGGGCUUAUCCAAAUU
rnacentral:rRNA from 1 species